CACCCCUUUCUGUCUCUCCGAGUUCGAUCUUCAUCUGCUGAUGGUGCGGAGGAGGAUUCGGAUCAGAAGGCGGCGCAGGAUGAGGAGGUUACGGAUUUGGGGGUCAGAGCGGCCUUGUCCAUGUUGAAAUUUUACAAAAGAGAGAUAUCACUGCUUCUGCCAUCAAGCUGUCGGUAUGUACCAACUUGCAGCGGGUACUCAAAGCAGGCGUAUAAAAAGUAUGGCGUUGUAAUGGGUACAAUCUUGACAGCUUGGUGUCUCUGCCGUUGCAACCCCCUCGAUUUGUAAAGAUUGUAAGGACAGAAACCUUUCUCAACUAUCUCAUGUAUGAACCAAAUACAUGGAAGAUCAUUCCAAUCUCAAGAACAAUAUUAUAUCUGCAGAGCAAAGUGACAAGAUUGGGUGGUUCCUCCCCCAAGUAAACCAUGGUGCAGAACUAAUUUGAGCACUGUGUUGAUAUUUCUUUAUGAAGCUAGAGAUAUUGUGAUGACUGACGAGGCGGUUAUAAUACUAGAGAUUUAUGAACAAUGUCAAUGCAGAUUGUCUCUUUGCCAACAGACUAUCACUACCUCCAAAAAGAUUCCUAACAUUUUUCUUCUUCCUGUUAUAAAUUAUUAUUCUGGGCAUGCAGUGGCUUGAUGAAGACAUUGCAGAUACGGUCUUUUAUACUACUGUUGGAACUGUCAUGAAAGCAUAUCUCCACAGGAUGUUGUAUCCCAAAUUAAAAGCUCCUUAUAGGAUUUUCUUCUGCAUCUUAACAUUGCUGGAAAGGCUCUUUAAAAUAUAGAAUAUAUGGUGUAGAUGGUGGCAUGUACUCACCCUCUGAAAAAAGAAAAAGAAAAAAAAGAUGAUGGCAUGGACUCAAGCCACCACCUGAGUGGGACAAGCAAACCACUUUCACAAAAUAUUGAUAUGAUGGUGUCACUCUGCUAUAUUGCUUAUGAGGGCCUUAUCCUUACGAUUAUCGGGGAGCAAUGGUUGAUUGUUUAACAUUAAAAAAAAGACCCCCUGCCAUUCUCUUCAAUAUUUAUUUUGACUUUUCUUCAGAACAGGUAAAAAAAGGCAGAUUGUGGGAGCUAGAUGGCCUGAGUCAGCUAGGCGGAUGAAAUGAGAAGAAAUCCAAAACAUAAUCAUCCUUUAUGUGAUUUUCCAUCUCGUGGUAAGUGAGGAAGGCUCAUUAUUCUGGUAUUUCAGAAAUGGGAUUGGUGCAAGUGCGCAAUCAGACUGUUCUUCUGGAUGGCAAUUCAUGGUAGAGGUGGUUAUCGUGGGAAAUGAUGUGGAAGCUCAGACAGUUCUUGAGAAGAUUUGCUGUCAUGGUGCUCAGGAGGUUUUGGCUGAAGUGCCCCAUGAGUGCAAACCAUGGAGUUCCGCUCUUUUUUUCCUUUUUUGGUACAUAAUAGGAGGGGAGGGGGAGGCGUAGAACCUCACCUGCGUAGCAGCCCUUAUUGGGCUCCCCUUUCACCAAGGAAUAUUUGAUGUGGGUCGCAAGUUUCCGCCACUGAGUUAUCUACGUGUGAGUACAUCACCUCAAUGCCAUCUCAGUACUGAUGGAAGGAAAGCAUAUCUACACAGAGCCAUCCGGAUGUGUCGGCAUGCGGUCUUCUGAUUUAAUCAACGUCUGUGUGUUUCAAACCUAGACAACUCAGGUGAAUUCCAAGCUUCCUUCAAGCUUCCUUACUACCAUGCUACCAUCUUGGUGGAGAGUUCUGCUCUUCACAGCGGCCAAUGUGUCGGCGUGAGACUACCACAGAAAUACUACCUAAUGCUCCAAUGCUUGGUGACAGGUUAGACGAAUGCGUGCGCGAUAAUCGUAGCCACGCGGUUCAUCUUGGCAAAACAAAUGGCGUGGCUCUAACAUAUCUGAAUUAUGGAAGGGUUGCUUAGGUUUUUCCAUGUCAUUUUACCGGCUAAAGCAAGACCAGUUGUACCGUGGAGGAUGAAAGAAAAGCACAAGAGUCCAGCUAUUAAUCAGAUAUGAUCUUACAUCUCAUUUAUCAAAUAUGUAUGCUUUUGGGUGGAGUAGCUACCAAACAGACACGAUGAUAUGCCAAUUAUCAAAGCCAAAGCAGGGCUUGGAACGUAGGUAGCACCUGCAUCCUUACAGAAUCCGCCACCAGGCGUCCGUAUGGCAGUAGGGCCAACUAAUAACUAUAAUUGUACCCGACAUGGAGCAACCCGGGUACAAUCAAUCAAAAGCACCACAAAUCUGUUUGCCAAGGUACGCUAUCUGAUCUGUCAUUAAUCAAAGGUUCCAACACACUUCAUAAUAUUAUACAAAACAAUCCUACAAAAUUUUCAUAUCAGCGAACGGUGAUAGGGACCCCACUCUACGUGGAAAGUUUGUGGGAAUCCUUUCCUCGGACUUCCCGUUUACUACUUCAACACCAUCUGCGUUCUGAAAGCCAGGCCUCAGUCGGUCACCUGCGUCACAACCGGGAAGUCCUUGUAAGGCCUAAGUAAGUCAUGCACCCGAAGGACGAAAAAAAAAAAAAAAAA